UCCAGCGCUGCCGGGAAUUUGAAAGAGGGAUCGCGCGGCAUUAAGCUGUCCUCACAACAAAAUAUCGCCUUUGCACCUGCGUCUUUCGUCUCGUAUCCGUUCGAUCGCCGUCGCUUUUCACCGACGACAUUUAUUAACCCUUUACCUUAAAAUACCGUGCCACCCUUCUGACGCAAUUCCAGACACGACCGAUCCAGCUUCUACUUCUAUUGUACGCUAGGUCUUAUCGAGCGGAAACGAUCAUCCAUGGAGUUUCUACCCUUGUUUAUUGCAUACGUGAUGCUCUGCACGCCGACGGGAACGAUGGUCAUCGAUUUUCUUCGAUUCCGAGAACCUAACCUAUGAAGAGGGGUUUUAAUUCCAGAGACAGGAUGUACAUCACCUGUUGCACAUAGUGCAUCAGGACAAACGGAACAAUGCAUCAUUUAACAGAAUUAAGUUACGAGGCUUGUGAUUCACAACCGUAACCGCAUCAAAAGGCGUGUAGAGAUCUUGGAAGAUCAUCACUUUCGAAACUGGCCAACAUAGGCACAUGAUACGCAGGAUAUAAACAACAAUCUUAUUAUCUACAACCUGAGAUGGCACUUUUCAACAUGAAACGAGGGUAUGCAAUAAACUCAAACGGGAUAAUACAUCCUCAUGAUCGAAACCCAGUGACCUGGUAAUAAACACUUUCAGAAAUGCAAAAACGUCUGACCAACGAGUCUCGUUCUACUUGCGGCGCGACGCUUUUUAGACGCGUGAAAGUUUUUGCGUCAUUGUCCCUCAAGAUUGUAUGCAAAUUGUUUUUGAUACAUAACUAAAGAGGAAAGACAGAUGUAUCUAACGAUAAAAAAUUCACCCUCGGACGGCGGACCAUGGAGAGAGCCUCAGAGUUAAACACGAAGAUCACGAAUAGAAGACAGUAACCGUUAAAGUGUCGAUCAAUUGGAGAAAAAGAAAAAUAAGCGGCAGGUAGAAAGGAGCGGUCGACAUUCUUGGAAUCAUCAGCAACUCAGAAAUGACCCUGUUAGAAGGUUAAAAGCAAGUUCCAGUAAAAGUGUUCCUCUCCAUCAGCGUCUAAAUGGUACAUGCUGUAUCCGUGCGAGAGUAUCGGCAGAGAAAGGGGUCGUAUCGUGUAGAAAGAGGUAAAAAUCAAGUGGAAGGGGUAACGAGGAAGGAAAGAAGAUCGGAGAACAGGUUUCCUCAGUAAGGAGGUCAAUGGCGUGUUUCAGGUCAUUACCAAUCGAACUAAAAAGAAGGUCCACACGUACACACAUACGUUUCUCGUUUUCUACACCUCAGGAUAUCUCUGUCAUCCUGUUCCCACAGCAUCGCACGUUUCCUCUAUUAAUGACGCUUUAAAGGGGGGACAGAUAAUCGAUAAAGAAAAAAAAUGGCUUUCGAUAGACCAAAUACUUGCACAGAGAGAUUUCUAUGUUUUCGAAGUAACUCGUGAAACUUGUCCCAUUUCAUUCGGGUUUUUGCUGACCUCUUUGAAAAAUCAUAAGACACGUGAAUUUUUUCAUCGCUAUCUCGUCUGAUGUACAGCCGAAAGGAACUGCCAGGUAAAUGGACAGUUAUUUAGGGCAGUUGUUUGAACGGAACCUGCUGUAAUCAUCGAAUGACCGAUUGAGAAACUCUCAGGUCAACGCGCUGUACGAUUCAUUGUUCUGUUCAAUGAAAUAUCGAAGUUUUGCAAACCGUAACAGAAGAUAUUGUACUGGCAUUAUCAUUUCAAGAAACAAAUUGUUCGCUUCCAUAAAAUUUAGCCUAAUUUCGAUUAAAGUUACCUAAUUUAAUUGAUUACAUUUCAAAACGUCCGAAUCAAUUUUCGAGCUUCUUUUGCCAAGUUCGUAUAGAAUCGUUGGAAUGCAAGCAUUUUUCACGAACGUCAGCGAGUCGUGUAAGAAAAAUCGCAACGUCCGUUGUUCGAACUUACGAGGCAAGAAUUCUUUUUCCCCUUCGAUGUUUCUUCGAAGAAAACAAUAACAACAAGAAGCGAUUGCAUAUUGUAACACGUUGUAUAAAUAAUACAACAAUACUUUGAUUGUUUCUUUACAGAUGCAUGAAUGAAAUAAAUAAAAAUAAUGUAACAUGAUAUUAAUAACCGAUCGAGUUUGAGGACGAGCUAUUGGAAAUAGGUCGUUUAAUAUACAUAGUUCGUGAACCAGGAAAAAAUUCCAAUUUCAUGGAAAAAUUAUGUAUAAAUGAUGUCAACAGGCUAUGGUCAACGCCGUUUUGUGCCUUACCAACUACUGUUUCAAGUGAACAAAUAGAUAACAACGAGGAUUAUUUAAAUUGCAUGCAAGAAAUAAUUGAUAAAUGUGUAACAAGUAUUACUAGUAUAAAUGAAAACAUGCAAGGAUGGAAUAAAAAUAUAUAUGAUUCUUUGUUAUUUAAAUGUUCGUUGAAUCACGCGCAGAAUGUUUAAAAUUUAUAAAAUAAUUAUGAACACGUGUAUGAUAAAACAUAUGGUUUCUAUUAUUUUUUUAAAUCUCCUCUAAAAAAGAUGUUAUUAAUUUUCGCAAACAGUAUUGGAAAAAAAAGCGUAAUGGUUCUAAAAGAUUGUAAAUUUGACACCGCAUAAAUUCACGAGAUAGUCGAAAGCACAAACCGCGAAA